rfam:Marinobacter antarcticus strain CGMCC 1.10835 genome assembly, contig: Ga0079884_105
UAUGCGGUGCCUGGCACUAGGGCUAUAAACAUUGCCCCGUGAUCAGGUAGCGGCAUGACCCAAAGAGGU